rnacentral:lncRNA from 1 species
GCGGUUCGGAUUCUUCGAAGCAACGGCAUAAAGGAAUUUGGUUAGAGUUUCUAUACUUCUCUAAUUUGGUCUUCUCGGUUUUACGAAAAGCUUUUUUUCGGUAUUUUUCUUGGAGUUUUCGUUGGAACAAGAAAGGUGGGAUUCACCAUAAGGUUCUUGGUUUUUUAUCCGGAGAAGACAUAAGGUGUAAGCUUGUACUUCUAUUUCUUCAUAUAGUGGAAUACAUCUCUCUCGCUCUCCCCGUGGACGUAGGCAAUUGCCGAACCACGUAAAUCUUGGUUUCUUCUUUCUGCAUUUAUUCUUUUACCGUUCGGUCGAUUUUCUCUAUUUUUCGUGCAUCUUUGUUGGUAGCACAUGACGGACGAUCCAUCCGGUUCCCAACAAGUGGUAUCAGAGCAUAAGGUUCGUGCUACAUCAGAGAUGUCGAAAGUCUCGUCUUCUAAGUUUGAGGUGGAGAAAUUUGACGGUAAAGGAAACUUCGGUCUCUGGCAGAGAAGAGUGAAAGCCCUUCUGGUUCAACAGGGCCUUCAUAAGGCGUUACUCGGAAAAUCGAAAAAGCCGACAUCGAUGAGCGACGAAGAUUGGGAGGAUAUUGAUCUGCGAGCGGUGAAUACAAUUAUAUUGUGUCUAGCAGAUGAGGUGAUGUAUAACGUAAUGGAUGAAGAAACUACAGUCGGCAUGUGGAACAAGCUAGAGAAGCUGUACAUGACCAAAAGCCUCUCGAACGUGCUGUACCUAAAGCAAAAAUUAUAUGGGCUACGCAUGAAGGAAGGUACGGCAAUAACGGAACACUUGAACACCUUUAAUAAAAUUAUUGCGGAUUUGCUCAGCAUUAAUGUCAAGGUUGACGAGGACGAUAAGGCGUUGAUUUUUCUUACAUCACUUCCGUCGUCCUACAAUCACUUGGUGACCACCAUACUGUACGGGAAGCAAACUCUAAAGAUGGAAGAUGUUACAUCGACACUUUUAUUUGAAGAGAUCAGGUUGCAGGCGAGAACCGAAGAAAGCAGUGCAGGUUUGGUCGUAAAUGAUACAAGUGGAGGAAGGGGACGAUCAAGAGAACGUGAUGCGGGUAAAGGAAGAUCCCGUUCCAAGUCAAAAUCGAAAAAGGUGAAGUGUUACUUCUGUAAGAAAGAGGGCCACAUGAAAAAGAACUGCGAAAAGAGGAAGGCUUGGCUGCGAAAUCAGAAUUCCUCUGCAGAUACGGCGAGCAUAGCCAGUGAUUCCGGUCAGGACGUCUUGACGGUUACAACAGAUUCUGACUCUCACGGUGACUGGAUAUUAGAUUCUGGUUGUUCUUAUCACAUGUCUCCAGACAGGUCUUUAUUUGAUACUUAUAAGUCUUGCGAAGGCAGUAAUGUUAUGAUGGGUAAUCGCACUAGCUGCAAGAUGGUCGGUAUCGGAACGGUAAAAAUAAAGAUGUUUGAUGGUGUGGUGAGGACGUUAACGGAUGUGAGACACAUUCCGGAUCUCAGGUUAAAUCUUAUAUCACUUGGUACUCUUGACUCUACUGGCUGUUCUAUUAGCAUUUCAGGUGGAGUCGUCAAGGUUAAAAAGGGUGCCAUGGUCGUCAUGAAGGGAGAGAAGAAAGGGAAUCUGUACAGACUGAUCGGCGAGUCGGUGAUUGGAGGCGUUGCGGUAACAUCCUCAGAAGAUCAUGAUGCUGAUGAUACGGAGCUCUGGCACAUGAGACUAGCCCACAUGAGUGAAAGAGGGAUGUUGGAACUGCAUAAAAGGGGAGUACUCAAAGGUAUUAAAUCCUGUAAACUUAAUUUCUGCAAAUAUUGUUUAUUUGGAAAACGGAAAAGGUUGAGUUUCAGGACCUCCAGUCAUAAAAGCAAAAGUAUACUUGAGUACAUCCAUUCAGACGUGUGGGGACCGGCUCCGGUGACUUCGAAAGGUGGUGCGCGAUAUUUUAUUACAUUUAUCGAUGAUUUCUCCCGUAAGGUUUGGGUAUUCUUCAUGAAGGAAAAGUCUGAGGCAUUUAUAAAGUUCAGACAUUGGAAGAAUGAGGUGGAGAAACAAACUGGGAAGCAGGUCAAGGUUCUUCGAACGGACAAUGGUGGAGAGUUCACUUCUCGGGAGUUUAAGAAAUUCUGCAAGGAUGAAGGUAUUGUACGUCAUUACACGGUUUCAGGUACUGCAUAGCAGAAUGGAGUAGCAGAAAGGAUGAACCGGACAUUGCUAGAACGUGCCAGUUCUAUGAGGUUAUGUGCAGAUUUGCCAAAGGAGUUCUCGGCUGAAGCAGUAGAUAUGGCGUGCUAUAUUAUUAAUCGAUCUCCCGCCACAGCAAUCGAACUCAAAACACCGGAGGAAGUAUGGACAAGUAAACUUGCAGAUUAUUCCUCCUUACGGGUCUUUGGUUGUCCUGCUUAUGUCCAUAUCCAGGAAAAUCAGCGCACAAAAUUAGAUUCGAAGUCAAAACCCUGCAUAUUUCUUGGAUACGAUAUGGGUGUUAAAGGAUACAAGCUGUGGGACCCUAUCGCCAAGAAGAAGGUGAUUAGCAGGGACGUAGUUUUUGACGAAAAAGCUAUGCCGCGUAAGGAUCAUCAGGAAGCUCAACGUGAAGAACAGUCAAAAACUACGCAGAUCCAGGUGGAGCGGCAAUAGGGUGUAGAUGAUCAGGUGGAGCAGCCCCACUAUCAGGAUGAUCAUGGUACACAAAGCGAUCCGAUUGAAAGCACUUCGGAAGAGCCCUACUCUAUCGCUAAAGGAAGGGAAAGGAGACAGAUUCGUCCACCUUUACGGUACAGGUUGGAGGAUAUAGUAUCUUAUGCCUUAUUAAUUACAUCAGAUGAUCCCACUUCCUAUCAGGAGGCGAUGCAGGACAGAGAUAGUGGCAGAUGGAUGGCGGCUAUGACAGAAGAGAUGGAGUCUCUACAGAAAAAUCAGACAUGGGAUCUGAUUCCAUUACCGGAAGGGAAGAGAUCUAUCGGUUGCAAGUGGAUCUACAAAAAGAAGCAGGGUGCAGAUGGAGAACCAGAAAAAUUCAAGGCGCGGUUAGUAGCCAAGGGCUAUGCGCAAGUAAAGGGAGUUGAUUUCAAUGAGAUUUUCUCACCGGUGGUGAAACACGCGUCAAUUAGGAUGCUUCUAGCUAUGGUGGCUAUGUUUGAUUUAGAGCUUCAGCAGCUUGACGUUCGAACCGCAUUUCUUCAUGGGGAUCUAGUAGAAGAAAUUUAUAUGGAACAACCUCAAGGUUUUGUUCAGCCGGGGAAGGAGAAUCUGGUGUGCAAACUGAAAAGAUCUCUCUACGGGUUGAAGCAGGCACCGAGGCAGUGGUAUAAGCGGUUUGACGGGUUUAUGAUCGAGCAUGGUUAUAGCAGAAGUUUAUAUGACAGUUGUGUCUACUAUCGGAGGCUUGAAGAUGGUUCGUUUAUUCUGCUUAUGCUAUAUGUAGACGAUAUGCUUAUAGCAGCUAAGAAUCCGAAUGAAGUGCAACAAUUAAAGGAUCAGUUGAGCCGAGAAUUUGACAUGAAGGACCUAGGAGGUGCUAGGAAAAUCCUAGGUAUGGAGAUCAGACGCGACCGCAUACAGGGUAAGUUAUGGUUAUCGCAGAAGACAUAUAUACGAGCUAUUAUAAAGCAAUUUAAUAUGUCAGAGGCGAAGGCGGUCAAGACUCCAUUAGCCCAACACUUCAAACUUUCUGAGGAGAUGUGUCCCAAGACGGAUGAGGAGAUUACUUCUAUGUCAAAGAUACCAUAUGCUAGUGCAGUCGGUUGCCUGAUGUAUGCUAUGAUCUGCACUAGGCCUGAUCUUUCACAUGCAGUUAGUGUUGUCAGUCGGUAUAUGUCGAAUCCAGGAAAACAACACUGGGAGGCCGUGAAGUGGAUUUUGCGGUAUCUGAAGGGCACAUCAGAUAAAGGUAUUCUCUACUCGAAAGAUUCUGGUAAUGAUGAAGUGAAGGGGUUUGUAGAUUCCGACUAUGCGGGUGAUUUGGACAAGCGUAGGUCUAUUACAGGUUACGUCUUUCUGCUGGGCGGCGGACCUAUCAGUUGGAAAUCUACGUUGCAGCGCACUGUAGCCUUGUCAACUACAGAAGCGGAGUAUAUGGCGGCAAUUGAAGCAGCUAAGGAAGCAGUCUGGCUUAGAGGCUUGGUUGGUGAACUCGGGAUCAUGCAGGAAAAAAUGAUUAUCGGUUGUGAUAGUCAGAGUGCUAUAUGUCUCGCCAGGAAUCCAGUUUACCAUGGGAGGACAAAGCACAUAGAAAUCAAGUAUCACAAAUUACGGGAGCUCACUAAUGAGGAUGAUGGAGAAAUUCAGCUUAUAAAGGUUUCCACAAAGGAUAAUGUAGCUGACAUCAUGACAAAGCCGGUAACAGCGGAUAAGUUUAGACACUGUCUAAACUUGGCUAAUUUGCAUGACUGCUAAUGACUGAAUGCCUCAGGGAGAGGGGGCGAUAAGAUGAGAGAGAGUAAUGAAGUAAAAAAGAAGUCAAGGUGGAGAAUGUUAAAGAUAUGCCUUCUUUUUUAUUGGUUUUGUCCAUGCACCGGGUCUACGGAAUAUAUUAAUUCUUAAAGUUGAUUCACGUUGGUGUAAGAGAUGAGGCUGAAUCUAAUUAAUAUUGGGAUUGCAUGCAUCAAAACCAUAUUCGGUUUAUACUUCUCAAACCGACUCCAAUUAACAUUGGUUGACUUUUGACCGGGUUAAUUAGCACUAUAUAUUCAUGCUGGGGUGAACCGUACGAUGCGUCAUGUGGUAGAAAUUUAAUUAGCAUCGGGCUAAUUAAUUCACAGCUUCCUAUAGCCGUACGGUAGCAAGAAAAAGAGAUGCGCGGUAGCACGCAUGCGACGGAUUGACGUUGGCGGCGGAGCGGCGGUUCUCAACCAAUUGCCUGAGCGGUUCGGAUUCUUCGAAGCAACGGCAUAAAGGAAUUUGGUUAGAGUUUCUAUACUUCUCUAAUUUGGUCUUCUCGGUUUUACGAAAAGCUUUUUUUCGGUAUUUUUCUUGGAGUUUUCGUUGGAACAAGAAAGGUGGGAUUCACCAUAAGGUUCUUGGUUUUUUAUCCGGAGAAGACAUAAGGUGUAAGCUUGUACUUCUAUUUCUUCAUAUAGUGGAAUACAUCUCUCUCGCUCUCCCCGUGGACGCAGGCAAUUGCCGAACCACGUAAAUCUUGGUUUCUUCUUUCUGCAUUUAUUUUUUUACCGUUCGGUCGAUUUUCUCUAUUUUUCGUGCAUCUUUGUUGGUAGCACAUGACGGACGAUCCAUCCGGUUCCCAACACGAAAGCCACACAAAAUAAUAUUAAUUCCUAUAUCAA